UGCCUCAGGAUCACAUCUGAAGAGUGUCCAGUACUCUACCAGUCUCGGCUACGGGAGGGAGAGUCAAGCAGAGGCCUACCCUUUCCAUUCCUAGCUUGGCCAUUGGCUAGCAAUUGGAAGGCAAUAUGCUACAAGU
rfam:Ornithorhynchus anatinus chromosome 5, whole genome shotgun sequence.